rnacentral:rRNA from 1 species
AUGAACGCUGGCGGCGUGCUUAACCCCUGCAAGUCGCACGGAAAGGCUCCUGCUUGCAGGGGUACUCGAGUGGCGAACGGGUGAGUAACACGUGGGUGAUCUGCCCUGCACUUCGGGAUAAGCCUGGGAAACUGGGUCUAAUACCGGAUAGGACGAUGGUUUGGAUGCCAUUGUGGAAAGUUUUUCGGUGUGGGAUGAGCUCGCGGCCUAUCAGCUUGUUGGUGGGGUAAUGGCCUACCAAGGCGUCGACGGGUAGCCGGCCUGAGAGGGUGUACGGCCACAUUGGGACUGAGAUACGGCCCAGACUCCUACGGGAGGCAGCAGUGGGGAAUAUUGCACAAUGGGCGCAAGCCUGAUGCAGCGACGCCGCGUGGGGGAUGACGGCCUUCGGGUUGUAAACUCCUUUCGCUAGGGACGAAGCGCAAGUGACGGUACCUGGAGAAGAAGCACCGGCUAACUACGUG